GGAAAGUGCUUCCGGCAGCCUAGUUAGCGGUGGAACCAGGAAAGCGCAGGCGCAGCAAUUGCUGCUUACUUGGGAGGAGGAGUUGUUUCUCAGACCGAGGUGAUGAAAGGCUGGGAGGCGCUAAAAUGAGACAGCUGGAGCCCCCCUUUCCUGUCCACAAACUACAAUGCCUCGAUAUCUGCAUUUAUUGUGAUUCAAGCACUGUGCUAAAGAGUUUUUAAUAUGCCAUGGAAAAUUGUGCCAGAAAAUUAUGGUUUGAACAUGGGCAGUUUUCUCCUACCUUCAGCUAUAUCCACAAGCACCACAUGAAAUGGAGAUCUGGCAGCUCUGUCAGUCAAGUUCCACAAUUAAACCUGACAACUACGGAGACAGAGCAUAAGAUGAUUUAUAUUGUGGAAAAUGUAUUUAUUUGCAAAGAAAGAAAAAGGCACUGUCCCAGGCAAGUGAAAUAAUAGCCAUAACAAUUUUUAAAGAUAUAGUGUUUC
rnacentral:lncRNA from 1 species